UAGCUAGUUGGUGAGGUAAAGGCUUACCAAGGCGACGAUCUGUAGCGGGUCUGAGAGGAUGAUCCGCCACACUGGAACUGAGACACGGUCCAGACUCCUACGGGAGGCAGCAGUGGGGAAUUUUGGACAAUGGGGGCAACCCUGAUCCAGCCAUGCCGCGUGAGUGAAGAAGGCCUUCGGGUUGUAAAGCUCUUUCGGCCGGGAAGAAAUCGCAUGGGCCAAUACCCUGUGUGGAUGACGGUACCGGAAUAAGAAGCACCGGCUAACUACGUGCCAGCAGCCGCGGUAAUACGUAGGGUGCGAGCGUUAAUCGGAAUUACUGGGCGUAAAGCGUGCGCAGGCGGUUUUGUAAGACAGGCGUGAAAUCCCCGGGCUUAACCUGGGAACUGCGUUUGUGACUGCAAGGCUAGAGUACGGCAGAGGGGGGUGGAAUUCCACGUGUAGCAGUGAAAUGCGUAGAUGUGGAGGAACACCAAUGGCGAAGGCAGCCCCCUGGGUCGAUACUGACGCUCAUGCACGAAAGCGUGGGUAGCAAACAGGAUUAGAUACCCUGGUAGUCCACGCCCUAAACUAUGUCAACUAGGUGUUGGGUGGGUAAAACCAUUUAGUACCGUAGCUAACGCGUGAAGUUGACCGCCUGGGGAGUACGGCCGCAAGGUUAAAACUAAAAGGAAUUGACGGGGACCCGCACAAGCGGUGGAUGAUGUGGAUUAAUUCGAUGCAACGCGAAAAACCUUACCUACCCUUGACAUGCCAGGAACUUGCCAGAGAUGGCUUGGUGCCCGAAAGGGAGCCUGGACACAGGUGCUGCAUGGCUGUCGUCAGCUCGUGUCGUGAGAUGUUGGGUUAAGUCCCGCAACGAGCGCAACCCUUGUCGUUAAUUGCCAUCAUUUAGUUGGGCACUUUAACGAGACUGCCGGUGACAAACCGGAGGAAGGUGGGGAUGACGUCAAGUCCUCAUGGCCCUUAUGGGUAGGGCUUCACACGUCAUACAAUGGUCGGUACAAAGGGUUGCCAAGCCGCGAGGCGGAGCCAAUCCCAGAAAGCCGAUCGUAGUCCGGAUUGCAGGCUGCAACUCGCCUGCAUGAAGUCGGAAUCGCUAGUAAUCGUGGAUCAGCAUGUCACGGUGAAUACGUUCCCGGGUCUUGUACACACCGCCCGUCACACCAUGGGAGCGGGUUCCGCCAGAAGUAGGUAGCCUAACCGCAAGGGGGGCGCUUACCACGGCGGGGUUCGUGACUGGGGUGAAGUCGUAACAAGGUAGCCGUAGGGGAACCUGCGGCUG
rnacentral:rRNA from 1 species